rnacentral:rRNA from 1 species
GACGAACGCUGGCGGCGUGCUUAACACAUGCAAGUCGAACGGAAAGGCCCUGCUUUUGUGGGGUGCUCGAGUGGCGAACGGGUGAGUAACACGUGAGUAACCUGCCCUUUACUUUGGGAUAACUUCAGGAAACUGGGGCUAAUACCGGAUAGGAUCUCCUGCUGCAUGGUUUGGGUUGGAAAGUUUCGGCGGUUGGGGAUGGACUCGCUGCUUAUCAGCUUGUUGGUGGGGUAGUUGCUUACCAAUGCUUUGACGGGUAGCCGGCCUGAGAGGGUGACCGGCAAAAUUGGGACUGAGAGACGGACCAGAAUCGAACGGGAGGCAGCAGUGGGGAAUAUUGAAAAAUGGGAGGAAGCAUGAUGAAGAAAAGCCGCGAGCGGGAUGAAGGCCUUCGGGUUGUAAACAGAUUUAGCAUGUGACGAAGCGUGAGUGACGGUAAUGGGUAAAGAAGCACCGGCUAACUACGUG